UCAGGACGAACGCUGGCGGCGUGCUUAACACAUGCAAGUCGAGCGAUGAAACUUCUUCGGAAGUGGAUUAGCGGCGACGGGUGAGUAACACGUGGGUAACCUACCUUAUAGUGGGGAAUAGCCUUUCGAAAGGAAGAUUAAUACCGCAUAAGAUUGUAGUUUCGCAUGAAAUAGCAAUUAAAGGAGCAAUUCGCUAUAAGAUGGACCCGCGGCGCAUUAGCUAGUUGGUGAGGUAACGGCUCACCAAGGCGACGAUGCGUAGCCGACCUGAGAGGGUGAUCGGCCACAUUGGGACUGAGACACGGCCCAGACUCCUACGGGAGGCAGCAGUGGGGAAUAUUGCACAAUGGGGAAACCCUGAUGCAGCAACGCCGCGUGAGUGAUGACGGUCUUCGGAUUGUAAAGCUCUGUCUUUAGGGACGAUAAUGACGGUACCUAAGGAGGAAGCCAUGGCUAACUACGUGCC
rnacentral:rRNA from 1 species